CCGGAUUUCCUUAAAUUUAUUGUCUUGCUGUUUUUAAAUAAUGUAUGACAACCUUUUGUUCUUUAUGCAGGUAUCAAUAAAUUGUUCACAUCUUAAGUCAGUUUGUUUUGUGCAUUUGUUAAGCCAUCAAGAAAACAUUCACCAGGAUAUACCUCAGGAAGAGGAAAAUAAAAGAUCGCCUUUUGGAACCUUUAUUGACUUCGGCCCAAGAUUAGGUGGAUAGGACAACUCAGCGGUCACAUUGAUUGAAGAUUCCUUGACAACAAAGGCUUUGACAUACAAUAUGGGCAAAGGAGAUGAAAUUGCUAAGCACGCGGAGAAAUAUAGAGGCAGGACAGAUUGGGCCAAAGAUGUAAAGAAAACGGCUAAUGAUGGUUCCUGUACAUUUCAGGCAGGGGAUCCAAAAUGUAAUCUUUUUGUUUAUGAUGUAUUAUAUGAUGCAGGGAUUACCCCUCCUAAAACUGGUAUAUGGCCUAUUACAGCCUCCAUGUGGACGGGUUCUGUUGAUGGUUGGACUAAACAAAGUACGCAACAAAGAGGAGAUGUAGUAUCUGAUGGUAAGCAUUGUGGCAUAGCCGUAGAUGGGUCAUAUACCAUUGCAGCAGGUGCAAAUCUGGGCAAAGUGUAUAUGGACAAAGAUAUUAGCGGGGGAACCAUACAACGGUAUGAUGAACAAUAAUAUGAAAUGCACAAGAUUCAUAGUAAUACAACAUAGUUUCUGUCUACUUGCAUUUAUUGGCAUGUCAGUUCUAUUUCAAAAUUCCAAUAAGCCUUAACUUUUAUUGCAAAUCUUUAUUACUUACACCUUUAUUAUACUAAUUCAUCUUCCAUGCAACAUUCAAGUGGAUUAUGAGAUAAUCUCCCCGCGGUUGACACAGGAAUACAAUUUGCUUAUAGAAGAUUCAAGUCAAGUUUUCAAGUGAUUGAUUAUGAAUGUGGUCAUAUCAAUAACUUUCUUGAAAGGUUGAGCUUAACCUGGUUUGUGAAAGAAACCUUAUACAAGCUAUAAGGCAGUAAACAGCUGGUUGAUUUUAAAAAUUUUUACCAUAGUGCCCAUUCCAUUAAAAUAAGAGUAUAUACAUGACACAUUGCAAACAAGGAAAAGUUAUUUGCAUUAUAAGAAUAUAAAAUAUGGAGAGGACUUGUUUACGCAUUUUUUCAUAUGGUCUGCCAGCAAAACACCUUUCCAAUAGGUAAACCAAAACUUGGGCAUGUGUAAUGCUUAAAUGAAUGCAUCAUUUGCUAAAAACAAUUGAAUAAUGUCCAUCAAUGCCUUGCAUGCUUCAUUGAUUUAGCUUUUAUGCAAUUAUUUGUUUUCAGUUAAAGCCAUGUUACGGAGGCUUGUUCAAAAGUUUCCAUAUUUUCUAUAUCUAGCCUAUUUAGCUUUUGUGCAAUUAUUACAUAUUUAGCUUUUGUGCAAUUAUUUGUUUU